GACAGAGGUGCCAAGCGUUAGGCGGAAUCACUGGCUUAAAGCGUGUGUAGGCGGAAUUGUAAGUACCUUGUGAAAUCCCACGGCUCAACCGUGGAACUGCUCGGUAUACUGCUUUUCUUGAGCCACUUAGGGGCUACCGGAACAAAUGGUGGAGCGGUGAAAUGCGUAGAUAUCAUUUGGAACGCCAAUGGUGAAAACAGGUAGCUGGGAGUGUGCUGACGCUGAGACACGAAGCCAGGGGAGCGAACGGG
rnacentral:rRNA from 1 species